rnacentral:sRNA from 1 species
GCCGGGCGAGGUGGUGCAUGCCUGUAAUCCCAGUGGCUCAGGAGGCUGAGGCAGGAGGAUCAUGAGUUCAAAGCCAGCCUCAGCAAUGGCGAGGUACUAAGCAACUCAGUGAGACCCUGUCUCUA